GAAAUGCGAUACGUAAUGUGAAUUGCAAAUUCAGUGAAUCAUCGAGUCUUUGAACGCACAUUGCGCCCCCCUGGUAUUCCCGGGGGCAUGCCUGUCCGAGCGUCAUUUCUGCCCUCAAGCACGGCUUGUGUGUUGGGCCCCGUCCUCCGAUCCCGGGGGACGGGCCCGAAAGGCAGCGGCGGCACCGCGUCCGGUCCUCGAGCGUAUGGGGCUUUGUCACCCGCUCUGUAGGCCCGGCCGGCGCUUGCCGAUCAACCCAAAUUUUUAUCCAGGUUGACCUCGGAUCAGGUAGGGAUACCCGCUGAACUUAAGC
rnacentral:misc_RNA from 1 species